rnacentral:misc_RNA from 1 species
AAAGAUUUUUCUAGAUUUCUCAGUUUGACCAACAAUUUCGAUCCUCGAAGAUGAACCAAAACCCCAACCCUAAUCCAGAUCAUCCUCAUUCUUCCGAUUACGCACCAUACCCAAAGCUCAAUCCAAACAACUUCGCUCCGGUAUCUGAGACCUGGACUCCGGUUAAUGUCGGAUCGAAUCCUCCAUAUGCGCCUAUAUAUGGCAGCGCUGCAACUUCUAUGCCUACUGAGUCUAAUCCCUAUGUUACUCCUGAGCCUGCUCAAACCCCUGCUUCAUUAGUGAAGAAUAAAAUGGAUUCUGUUAAGGAUGCCCUUGGUAAGUGGGGAAAGAAGGCUGCAGAGACAACAAAGAAGGCUGAAGAUCUUGCUGGGAAUAUGUGGCAGCACUUUAAAACAAGCC